rnacentral:rRNA from 1 species
AGUGAACGCUGGCGGUAGGCCUAACACAUGCAAGUCGAACGGCAGCACAGUAAGAGCUUGCUCUUACGGGUGGCGAGUGGCGGACGGGUGAGGAAUACAUCGGAAUCUACUUUUUCGUGGGGGAUAACGUAGGGAAACUUACGCUAAUACCGCAUACGACCUACGGGUGAAAGCAGGGGAUCUUCGGACCUUGCGCGAUUGAAUGAGCCGAUGUCGGAUUAGCUAGUUGGCGGGGUAAAGGCCCACCAAGGCGACGAUCCGUAGCUGGUCUGAGAGGAUGAUCAGCCACACUGGAACUGAGACACGGUCCAGACUCCUACGGGAGGCAGCAGUGGGGAAUAUUGGACAAUGAGCGCAAGCCUGGUCCAGCCAUACCGCGUGGAUGAAGAAGGCCUUCGGGUUGUAAAGCCCUUUUGUUGGGGAAGAAAAGCAGCAGGUUAAUACCCCGCUGUUCUGACGGUACCCAAAGAAUAAGCACCGGCUAACUUCGUG